rnacentral:rRNA from 1 species
AUUGAACGCUGGCGGCAGGCCUAACACAUGCAAGUCGAGCGGAGCGGCGGACGGGUGAGUAAUGCCUAGGAAUCUGCCUGGUAGUGGGGGAUAACGUCCGGAAACGGGCGCUAAUACCGCAUACUAUCAAAUGAGCCUAGGUCGGAUUAGCUAGUUGGGGGGGUAAAGGCCUACCAGGGCGAAGAUCCGUAACUGGGCUGAGGGGAUGAUCAGUCACCCUGGAACUGAGACGCGGUCCCGGCUCCUACGUGGAGCAGCAGUGGGGAAUAGUGGAGAAUGGGCGAAAGCCUGAUCCAACGAUGCCGCGUGUGUGAAGAAGGUCUUCGGAGUGUAAGGCACUUUAAGUUGGGAGGCGUUACCAACAGAAUAAGCACCGGCUAACUUCGUGCCAGCAGCCGCGGUAAUUC